UAAUCGGAAUCACUGGGCGUAAAGACGCUCGCAGGUGGCUUUGUAAGUCAGGUGUGAAAGCCCACGGCUCAACCGUGGAAUUGCACUUGAUACUGCAUUGCUUGAGUCCGGGAGAGGGUAGUGGAAUUCCAGGUGUAGGAGUGAAAUCCGUAGAGAUCUGGAGGAACACCAGUGGCGAAGGCGACUACCUGGACCGAUACUGACACUGAGGAGACGAAAGCGUGGGGAGC
rnacentral:rRNA from 1 species